rnacentral:rRNA from 1 species
UGCCAGCCGCCGCGGUAAUACAGAGGGCUCAAGCGUUAAUCGGAAUUACUGGGCGUAAAGGGUUCGUAGGCGGCCACUUAAGUCAGGGGUGAAAUCCCACGGCCCAACCGUGGAACGGCCUCUGAUACUGAGUGGCUUGAGUGUGCUAGGGGUAAGCGGAACGUGUAGUGUAGCGGUGAAAUGCGUAGAUAUUACACGGAAGGCCGGAGGCGAAGGCGGCUUACUGGGGCACAACUGACGCUGAGGAACGAAAGCGUGGGGAGCAAACAGGAUUAGAUA